rnacentral:rRNA from 1 species
UACGGGGGGAGCAAGCGUUGUCCGGAAUUAUUGGGCGUAAAGAGCUCGUAGGCGGUUUGUCGCGUCUGCUGUGAAAACUCGGGGCUUAACUCCGGGCCUGCAGUGGGUACGGGCAGACUAGAGUGCGGUAGGGGAGACUGGAAUUCCUGGUGUAGCGGUGAAAUGCGUAGAUAUCGGGAGGAACAUCAGUGGCGAAGGCGGCUGCCUGGCCCAAUACUGACACUCAGGUGCGAGAGCGUGGGGAGCAAACAGG